rfam:Mesocricetus auratus contig030388, whole genome shotgun sequence.
AACCCUUGGCAAUGGGCAAAGGGACACCUUGUGGUGGUGGUGUUGUUCUUCUAUCAGCCAGGGGCAGAUGGCAGUCCUUCGUUCAUCCUAGUUUCAUGCUGACUUGGUGGCCAAAGUGUUUCAUGCCUAUGGCACAUUA